AUUUUGGACUCCCUAUUUCUCCUACUUUCUUACUCCUUUCAGGGAGUGAAUGAAUUUGACAUAUCCAACAUUAAGACAAUUCCUCCAGGACUGUACCUUCCUCUGGCCUAACUCUGAUGGCAGCACUGACAAGAAAAAGAAACAAUGAAUCUCCAGUCUCAAUGAGGGAAUCUUUUGUUCUUGUACUUGCUUCCUGUUUAACAGUUUGUACUGCCAUAGACACCAUUACUAUCGCUAGGCCUGUCCGAGACCAUGAAACUAUAGUAUCCUCCGGGCAAACCUUCAAGUUGGGCUUUUUUAGUCCUGCAAACACUAGUAAUCGCUAUGUUGGAAUCAUGUACAAUAUUCCUGGAACAACUGUUAUAUGGGUGGCUAACAGGGACAAACCUGUUAAGGAUUCUACCGGAAUUUUGACAAUUGCAGAAGACGGUAACCUUGUAAUCUUGAAUGGGGAGAGGGAGACCAUAUGGUCUUCUAAUGUUUCAAAGUCGGUGGCAAGCUCAAGUGCCAAACUUUUGGAUACUGGGAACUUAGUCUUGACAGACAACUCAGAUGGAAGUACGAUGUGGGAGAGUUUCCAAAUUCCUACUGAUUCUUUGGUGCCAAAGAUGAGAUUAAGUGCGGGUGCAAAAGAGAAGCUCCAACUAACUUCCUGGAGAAGCCCUUCUGAUCCUUCCAUUGGAGAUUUCUCUGCAGGCUUUCAUCUUUUCCGACCUCCGCAGUUCUUUGUUUGGGAGAAUAAUGUACCUUGCUGGCGCAGUGGUCCAUGGAGUGGUAAUACGUUCAUCGGAAUACCUGGCAUGAGUUCUGCUUAUCAGAGUCGAUUAGAUCUGGUGGAGGACAAUUCAGGAUCUACUUAUUUUACCUACAACUCUGUAAAUAAUCCGGCUCUGUUCUACUACUCAUUGAAUUCCUCAGGGUGUUUACAGGCAAAGGUCUCAAUUGGAAAAGGAGAUUGGAGUGUAACGUGGUCAAGUCUAGAAAGCCAAUGUGAUAUUUAUGGCAAAUGUGGACCUUUUGGAAGCUGCAAUCGUCUACAGUCACCAAUUUGUACGUGUUUGCAAGGUUUUAAGCCAAGAGAUGAAGAGGAAUGGAACAGAGGACAUUGGAGUGGUGGAUGCAUAAGAAAGGAAUUGUUGAAAUGUGAGAGAAAUCAAUCUUCCAGUACAGAUGCCAAAGAAGAUGGAUUUGUUAGACUCCCAAACAUGAAAGUUCCAGAUUUCCUUGUGCUGGUAGUAAUCUCAGAAGAAGCAUGUGGUAGUUCUUGCUUGAAAAAUUGCUCUUGCACAGCUUAUGCAUAUUACAAAGGGAUAGGAUGUAUGCACUGGAGUGGCAACCUAAUCGAUGUGCAGCACUUCUCCUAUGAUGGGGCAGACUUGUAUGUACGCGUACCUUAUUCUGAACUUGAUAAAAAGAAGGAUACGAAAGCAGUCACUGCAGUCAUAGUGGUUGCAGCAUCUUUAUUUAUUGCCGUCUCUCUUUAUUUUUGUUGGAAAAGGUGGGCUAAGCACAAAGGUAAAGACCAAGAUGAUCAGGUGUCUUUGUUUGAACCUACGUAUAAUGUGGAAAACAUGGUCAGCAAAACUGGGGACCGAGCCAAGUUAGGAGAGCUACCUCUGUAUACUUAUGAAACACUAGCUAAAGCAACAGAUAACUUUGAACCAUGCAAUGAGCUGGGCAAAGGUGGUUUUGGUCAAGUCUACAAGGGAAAGCUGUUAGAUGGCCAGGAAAUUGCAGUGAAAAGGCUUUCCAACACUUCUGGCCAAGGCAUUGAGGAGUUUAUGAAUGAAGUUGUGGUCAUUUCUAAACUCCAGCACCGGAACCUUGUUAGACUCCUUGGCUGCUGUGCUGAAAGAGAAGAGAAAAUGCUAGUCUAUGAAUACAUGCCAAACAAAAGCCUGGACUUCCAUCUAUUCGAUUCUGAUAAGCCAAGUGUACUCGAUUGGAAAAAACGCGUCACCAUCGUUGAUGGGAUUGGCAGAGGCCUCCUUUACCUUCACAGAGAUUCAAGAUUAAAAAUCAUUCAUAGAGAUCUAAAGGCAAGCAAUAUUCUCUUAGAUAAAGAGCUGAGACCCAAGAUAUCAGAUUUUGGCUUGGCAAGAAUUUUUGGAGGCAAUGAAGAUCAAGCCAAUACAAGGAGGGUUGUGGGUACAUAUGGCUACAUUGCCCCGGAAUAUGCAAUGGAAGGCAUGUUUUCAGAAAAGUCAGAUGUCUACAGCUUUGGGGUGCUGCUAUUAGAGAUUGUGACAGGAAGGAGAAAUAGUAACUUCUAUUAUCACGAGAAUGAGCUGAGUCUACUUGGAUAUGCCUGGAAAUUGUGGAAUGAAAAAGAAGCAGUUAAACUGAUAGAUGCAGCUAUUUUUGUCCCGGGUAUCGAAAAAGAGGUCUUGAGAUACGUCCAUGCAGGGCUAUUGUGCGUGCAAGAAUUUGCAAAAGAUAGGCCAGAUAUCUCUGCUGUUCUAUCCAUGCUUAACAGUGAAACUUCAAAUCUCCCUCUUCCCAAAUUACCGGCUUAUACAAGAAGAUUAGGAUCUUCAGUAAGUGAUUCUUCUUCGCAAAGGGUUGAUUCUAUUAACAAUGUCACUGUAACGAUUGUUGAAGGCCGAUAACAGAAUCCACUUCACAGUAUGCAGUACUAGUAAUGCAUUCAACAAGAUGGAUGUAGCACAACAUCAGUUUGCUUUGGAGGUUUAGGAUAUCAUUUCUUGGCUCUUAGAAGGUUUUCGUAUGGCUCGAGCCAUUCUCUAUGAAGUUCAGAUGGUACUGCCUAUUUGUAUAUGUGAUAUUGUAAUUUUGAUGAACAUUAGUGUAUACUGCGAGACUCGAUUAGUAUGUUAACUAAUGGAAGGUUUCAUUCAUUAAUA